GCUUGUUUGUGGCCAAACAUGUGUAAUUUAAGCUUAGAACUAUUACUCUCAUAAAAGUGACGUCUCUUCCCAUCUGCAGGCUCCUUUCGUGCUAUGCCGAGUAUUCGCUAAACCUCGUUUUGGAAAUACCGUAUUCGAGAACGUUUUAAGUUGUUGUGCAGAAGAAAGUAUUUUGGCUCUACAUCACAUCGGUAUUCACCAUGAUCUAUCUAUAGCUAGAUGAUCCAAUAGCAACCAGAGCUGUUUCUGUUGGCAGUUUUGAGUUUCAUUUAGGCAUCCUACCGGACCUGCGCAAUGAUCCGGUAAUGUGUUGCCAUGGAGGUUAUGUUCUUACCAUGUAUUUCAAGUCUCAAUUGCACACCCUGUAACUUCAAUUUUGUUAUGCAUGUAAGUUCUUUUGAUUAAAAAAGAUGUUGACAUGCUGUGAAAGUUUUAUAUGCUGUCUGCAUUUUCGAUCUGUUUCGAACCCCUCCUUUCCACAUAUAUGCAUGUUGCUCAUUGGCUGUUACGUAGGUGCGGUCUCGUUUAACUACCGGACAAGUUACGGUCAAUUGUAGGAGAAGAGUUCAUAUCUGAAUACAUAGAUUUUCUGAUGCCCGGAAAACUUACCUUCGUAAGGUCAUUUCUCAUUCCCCUUUUGUUGUCCAUAAAAGUUUUAAUAAAUUUAUCUUUUGGUUCACCUUGCAGGCUACAGUCAUGUGCCUAAUAUAAAGUUGUGCUUUAGAAAAAAUAUGUACACACGAUACCAUUGACAAGCUCG
rnacentral:lncRNA from 1 species